rnacentral:rRNA from 1 species
AACGCGAAGAACUUACCUGGUCUUGACAUCCCGGAGACCCUUAGGAAACUAGGGGUGCUUCCAUCUGGAAGAAUCUGGAGGACAGGUGCUGCAUGGCUGUCGUCAGCUCGUGUCGUGAGAUGUUGGGUUAAGUCCCGCAAGAGCGCAACCCUUGCCUUUAGUUGCCAGCAGUUCGGCUGGGCACUCUAAAGGGACUGCCGGUGUUAAACCGGAGGAAGGUGGGGAUGACGUCAAGUCCUCAUGGCCUUUAUGACCAGGGCUACACACGUACUACAAUGGCCGAUACAAAGGGCAGCGACACUGCGAGGUGAAGCCAAUCCCGUAAAAUCGGUCUCAGUCCGGAUUGGAGUCUGCAACUCGACUCCAUGAAGUUGGAAUCGCUAGUAAUCGUGGAUCAGCAUGCCACGGUGAAUACGUUCCCGGGCCUU